GUAAGGAGUUUUCGGCAAUGGGGGGAACCCUGACCGAGCAACGCCGCGUGAGUGAUGACGGCCCUAUGGGUUGUAAAGCUCUGUUAUAAGGGACGAACAGCUUUGCUAGGAAAUGAGCAGAGUCUGACGGUACUUUAUCAGAAAGCCACGGCUAACUACGUGCCAGCAGCCGCGGUAAUACGUGGGUGGCAAGCGUUAUCCGGAAUUAUUGGGCGUAAAGAGUGAGCAGGCGGCAGAUUAAGUUUGAGGUUAAAGCGUGGGGCUCAACCCCAUAAAGACUUGAAAACUGAUCAGCUAGAGUACGAGAGAUGUGAAGGGAACUCCAUGUGUAGCGGUGAAAUGCGUAGAUAUAUGGAAGAACACCAGUGGCGAAGGCGCUUCACAAGCUCGAAACUGACGCUCAGUCACGAAAGCGUGGGUAGCAAAUAGGAUUAGAAACCCCGGUAGUCC
rnacentral:rRNA from 1 species